UUACUGGAUGAGGGUUCUAUGAUGACAGUUAGGGUAUUCAGCCAUCUGAUCACCAGAGUAGGUCAGCUCAGGCACCCUCUCGACUAUUGCCAGUAGUCUAUGGUGGAGUCAUCGUUGCGGAUUCCUGGGAACCUCUCUAGCACUCUGCUUCUCCCCAUUCCCAUGGUGUGUUCAUUUAUCGUGGAGAGCAUUGGAGAUGUCCACUUCUGCCUCUGUAAGAUAGAUAUUGAAGGCUGUGUGGUUUAGACAGUAUCUAAAGAAAUUAGACACUCCAGAACCAAGAAAAUAAAUACAAGAAAUCAAGAGCACAGAAUAUCUUCUUCCUUCAAUCCACAGAACCCUGAAACUCUUCUAAUUCCAUCAAGCACAGAGAAAGGCCCACCUUGGCAGAUGGCCACAGAGGAUGUCAACAAUUUUUUGGA